UACAUGGGGUGCAAACGUUGCUCGGAAUUAUUGGGCGUAAAGCGCGCGUAGGCGGUUACUCAAGUCGGAUGUGAAAGCCCUCGGCUUAACUGAGGAAGUGCACCCGAAACUGAGUAGCUAGAGUACCAAAGAGGGUCGCGGAAUUCCCGGUGUAGAGGUGAAAUUCGUAGAUAUCAAGCGGAACACCGGUGGCGAAGGCGGCCUUCUGGACGAUGACUGACGCUGAGACGCGAAAGCGUGGGGAGCAAACAGG
rnacentral:rRNA from 1 species